GCUGGAACUUGGGUAAGAGAGGUGAUAAGUUUGCAGAUAAUAAUGUAUCUCAUCAGUCAUGAAUUGCACAAAUUAAUCUUCAGAUAGGGGCAUGUCAUACAAGAAUUUACAUGCUAGCACUUUAAUUGUCAGAAGCUAGUUUCUAUUAGGCAGAUGGACUGUGAAUGAGUAACAGCAUUUCCCAUUAGUGGAGGGAAAAAGAAAAAUGAAGAAUUCAUCAACCGUCAAUCAAAAUUCAACCAGUAGGCGUAAGCUUGACAAAAAUGUCUGACCCACAUAUCAACAGGACUUUUGGUGACCUGAGAGCAGAAAUCAGGAGGAGUUCAGCUGAAGCACUGACAGCAUCUCUGAGCUGGAAUAAUAUGCAUUGUGGUGGGGCCCCGACCUCUGCUUGGACUUCCAGCUCGGUGAUUCACCACGGCUCUGCCACCUGCUUUCUCUGGAACUGUGAGCCGAAACCCCAGCUGAAAACAGCUCAUGUGGAGACGCAGAGAGCUGCUGUCCCCACAGCCCACUUCUGCUCAGGCUCCCAGCCCUGAAUGACAGCUGUGGGGUUAUAUUUAUCACAGGUGUGUAUCUGACAUUAAAAAAGGGGGGGGGGGGAAAUGCCUUUCCUUUGUGGUAAGAUUUCCCCUUCGUCUGCUGUUUUGAAGGUUUUACAGUUAUUAGAUAGUCAUGUUCAUGAUUGCCUCAUGAAAACUUUGCUGGAGCUUAAAUGCGUAUUCUGUGUGACAACGAUUUUAGUCCUGGCAGGAUCUAAAACAGGGUUUUAAUCCUAGUUAUGUUCUGUUCCACUUAAUUGCCUUACCGAACGCUUGCACUCCGUAUAAAGACAAUCCAUCUUUUCCCCACUUGCUUCUGAAAUAAUCAUUACCUUCCUCUGCAGAAAUUAAAAGAAAAAAAAAGUGAUGUGGGUUAGGAGGAAAUGACAUUGAAAACAGACACCCAAAGAUGUUUUUGAACAAUUCCAAAUGUUUCUUAUGCACUUCACAGAGAUCCUUGCUGGAGCUAAAGGAGUUUUAAUGAAGGAUUUUUCCCUCCUCCCUGCACCAUGCUGCUUCCCCUCCCCUUUCCCAUUCCACAGAGAAGUUUCCAAAAGUAAUCCCAAAAACAAUAUUUAGAUGACUGAAAUGUUAGAGCAUAAUGUUACUGCAUAACACAGCACACCCAGGACUUUCCUCUGGGAUGGAAAUCUUUUAUUUUCUCUAUAUUAAAGGAGAAGUAAACGUGUUGAGGACAAAAAUGGAUGCUUGAAAGGUUAUUUUGCAUUUUUUGCCAUUUUCCUACAUUUUUAUCACUUUGAGCAAAACCAUUAUUUUUUCUAGGGAAUGGAUUGCUGGAAAUAGAAUCUGAAUGCCUUUGGGGGCUGAAGCACUUUCUCUUGGUGAUAGAUGCAGGCCACUCUGCUCAGAUCUCUCAUGUGCUCCCUGCUCUUUGCUCCUAUGUAAUUUCUGAGUGUACAAUUGGAUCAGGUACCAUUUAUACAGCCUACUAAAAACACUGAUAUGUUUUCCUUGGCUUUCAAGUCAACCCAAAACU
rnacentral:lncRNA from 1 species